rnacentral:lncRNA from 1 species
UUUUAUAAUUUGUUUUUAAAUUUAUUUUCUUUAUUAAUAUGAUAUUUACCACUUUGUUGAUCGUGGUUAUGUUGUUUUUUUAUACGCCACCUUUUGUUAGUGGCCUAUUUUAAUUUAUUUGACUUUUUUGUAUGGCCUUUUUGUACGCCACCUUUUUUGUAGGCUGGCUUUUUAUUUGUACACGGCCUUGCCUUUUUUGUACGCCACUUUUUUGUAGGCUGGCUUUUUAAUCAGGGGAGUUAAAUCAGGGGCAUUUAAAUGUUACCAUUUGUAAGAUUAACUCCCCUGUUGUUGUAAAUAAUUUUGAUCGUCGUUUUUAAUAAAUGACAUUUUGAUUGGAAUCUUUUUCCUUGUUACUAUUGCCUCCAAAAA